rnacentral:rRNA from 1 species
UACAGAGGUCCCAAGCGUUGUUCGGAUUCACUGGGCGUAAAGGGUGCGUAGGUGGCGAGGUAAGUCGGAUGUGAAAGCUCGGAGCUCAACUCCGAAAUGGCAUUGGAAACUACCUUGCUCGAGGGUUGGAGGGGGGACUGGAAUUCUCGGUGUAGCAGUGAAAAUGCGUAGAUAUCGAGAGGAACACCAGUGGCGAAGGCGAGUCCCUGGACAACUCCUGACACUGAGGCACGAAAGCUAGGGGGAGCAAAACAGG